GCUCAGCAAGCGCUGUUGCUUCGAGCUACUCCCAGGCUUCUGAAGUUACUUCCAAAGUGCUGUGGAGGCACAAUCACCGGUGCGGACACAGAGCUCUCGCCUCCCACGGCCGUUUCCAGGGCAACAGAGUCGGAGACCCCCUGCGACCCCCCUCCCGAUCGCCGGUGCAGUCAUGAGCCCCGCCUCCCCCUGGUGCACGGAGAGGGGCGGGGCCUGGAACAAGGCUGCUUCGUGACCCACUAUGUCUUCCCCCACAAGUUCUCUGGACACUCCCGUGCCUGGGAAUGGUUCUCCUCAGCCCAGUACCUCCGCCACGUCACCCACUAUUAAGGAAGAGGGGCAGGAGACUGAUCCUCCUCCAGGCUCUGAAGGGUCCAGCUCUGCCUACAUCGUGGGUGAGAUGGGGAGACAGGAACAGGGGUGUGGGGCUUUGUGAAGGAAGGGCGGGGAGAUGGUGGCCCCUGUCUUUUGGUCCGCUUUCCCUUCCUUUUCUCCCUGACACCGCCGACUCGUCCUCCGGAGCCCGCCGACCUGCAGAUCUUUCCCUUGGCGUUGCAGCCCCGUCCUCUCACCCUCGCUUCGGGACCUCCCAUGGCCCGUUCCCCGGCUGCUGUUUCUCUUUGUCGCUAUCUCUCAUGGCAUCUGCUCACCCCAAG
rnacentral:lncRNA from 1 species